rnacentral:rRNA from 1 species
AGUGAACGCUGGCGGUAGGCCUAACACAUGCAAGUCGAACGGCAGCACAGUAAGAGCUUGCUCUUACGGGUGGCGAGUGGCGGACGGGUGAGGAAUACAUCGGAAUCUACUUUUUCGUGGGGGAUAACGUAGGGAAACUUACGCUAAUACCGCAUACGACCUACGGGUGAAAGCAGGGGAUCUUCGGACCUUGCGCGAUUGAAUGAGCCGAUGUCGGAUUAGCUAGUUGGCGGGGUAAAGGCCCACCAAGGCGACGAUCCGUAGCUGGUCUGAGAGGAUGAUCAGCCAGACGGGAAGUGUGACACGGACCAGACGCCUACGGGAGGCAGCAGUGGGGGAUAUGUGAAAAUGGGCGCAAGCCUGAACCAUCCAUACCGCGAGAGAGAAGAAGGCCGUCGUGUUGUACAGCCCGUUUGUCGGGAAAGAAAAGCUGCAGAUCAAUACCCCGCUGUUCAGACGGUGCGCAAAGAAAAAGCACGGGCCACCUCUGUU